CACGUAGGGGCCAAGCGUUGGUCCGGAUUUAUUGGGCGUAAAGAGCUCGUAGGCGGUUGGGUAAGUCGGGUGUGAAAACUCCAGGCUCAACUUGGAGACGCCACCCGAUACUGCUCUGACUUGAGUUCGGUAGGGGAGGUGGGGAAGUUCCUGGUGUAGCGGUGAAAUGCGCAGAUAUCAGGAGGAACACCGGUGGCGAAGGCGGCGACCUGGUCCGAUACUGACGCUGAGGCGCGAAAGCGUGGGGAGCGAACCGG
rnacentral:rRNA from 1 species